rnacentral:rRNA from 1 species
UAUAGAGUUUGAUCCUGGCUCAGAUUGAACGCUGGCGGCGUGCCUAACACAUGCAAGUCGAGCGGUAACAGGUGUAGCAAUACAUGCUGACGAGCGGCGAACGGGUGAGUAAUGCUUCGGAAUCUACCCUCUAGUGGGGAAUAACCAGCCGAAAGGUUGGCUAAUACCGCAUACGUCCUACGGGAGAAAGCAGGGGAUCGUAAGACCUUGCGCUGAUGGAUGAGCCGAAGUCGGAUUAGCUAGUUGGUGAGGUAACGGCUCACCAAGGCGACGAUCCGUAGCUGGUCUGAGAGGACGACCAGCCACACUGGGACUGAGACACGGCCCAGACUCCUACGGGAGGCAGCAGUAGGGAAUCUUGCGCAAUGGGGGAAACCCUGACGCAGCGACGCCGCGUGCGGGAUGAAGGCCUUCGGGUCGUAAACCGCUUUCAGCAGGGACGAAAUUGACGGUACCUGCAGAAGAAGGCCCGGCCAACUACGUGCCAGCAGCCGCGGUAA